UUCCGCUCGCAGGUCCCCCAGCCGGAGCCGCUUUCCGGGGCACAGCCCCGCGCUGGUCCUGUGCGGCCGAGACCGCGGGCGGCCGCGUGCCUCAACCCGGAUGCGGCCUCCUAGAAAACCCUGACUCGGGGCCGGUGCAGCGGGCCCUCGUCUUGCCGCUUCCCUCCCGCAGCCUGAUGAGAUAUUUCAGAUUCAGAGAAGUUACUUGCCCCAAACCAAAUUACCAGUAAUUGGAAGAUCAAGAAUGAAAAGGACUCUUUCCAUCACACCACAUGAUGAUCUGUACUCUCCACAAAAGUGAAAAUUGUCCAGUAGCUGGAGCAGAUUUCUUCCCCCAACAAAGAAGAUGGGUGUUCCUGUGGUGAGAGCAGAGUUGGGGAGAAGCCAAGUCUAAUCAUCUCACUACCUAGAAGAGAUGAAGUACUGCCUUGAAAUGUGCCCACUCCACAGCUGUGACAAGAGCUGCCACAGUCUAAUUGCUAGUCUAAUUGCUGUGUCACCAGAUACACAUAUAGAAGAAAGAGAGCCUGAAGGUUGCAUGUAAGGAUUCAAAGUGAAUCCAGGCUGGUACAUGUUUCCUAUGUCUUUUAGCCUGUGCCCUCUAGAGCUGCCAAUGCUAUGGUCAAAACAGCCAUGUGGAUUAAAAAACAGUGACACAAGGAGA